GACGAACGCUGGCGGCGUGCUUAACACAUGCAAGUCGAACGGUGACGAGGAGCUUGCUCCUCUGAUCAGUGGCGAACGGGUGAGUAACACGUGAGCAACCUGCCCCAGACUCUGGGAUAACAGUUGGAAACAGCUGCUAAUACCGGAUACGAGACGGAGAGGCAUCUCUACCGUCUGGAAAGUUUUUCGGUCUGGGAUGGACUCGCGGCCUAUCAGCUAGUUGGUGAGGUAAUGGCUCACCAAGGCGACGACGGGUAGCCGGCCUGAGAGGGCGACCGGCCACGACUGGGACUGAGACACGGCCCAGACUCCUACGGGAGGCAGCAGUGGGGAAUAUUGCACAAUGGGCGAAAGCCUGAUGCAGCGACGCCGCAUGAGGGAUGACGGCCUCGGUUGUAACGUACUUCUACAGAGAAGAGAAGUAGACGGUACUGCAGAAGAAGAGACCGCGUACUAACGUAGCCACGCAGCCGCGGUAAACGUAACG
rnacentral:rRNA from 1 species